rnacentral:rRNA from 1 species
GACGAACGCUGGCGGCGUGCUUAACACAUGCAAGUCGAACGAUGAAGCCGGAGCUUGCUCUGGUGAAUUAGUGGCGAACGGGUGAAUAACACGUGAGUAACCUGCCCUUGACUCUGGGAUAACUGCGGGAAACUGUAGCUAAUACCGGAUACGACCCUCGGAGGCAUCUCCUGGGGGUGGAAAGAAUUUCGGUCAAGGAUGGACUCGCGGCCUAUCAGCUAGUUGGUGAGGUAAAGGCUCACCAAGGCGACGACGGGUAGCCGGCCUGAGAGGUGGACCGGCCACACUGGGACUGAGACACGGCCCAGACUCCUACGGGAGGCAGCAGUGGGGAAUAUUGCACAAUGGGCGCAAGCCUGAUGCAGCAACGCCGCGUGAGGGAUGACGGCCUUCGGGUUGUAAACCUCUUUUAGCAGGGAAGAAGCGAAAGUGACGGUACCUGCAGAAAAAGCACCGGCUAACUACGUGCCAGCAGCCGCCGUAA